rnacentral:rRNA from 1 species
AGAGUUUGAUCAUGGCUCAGGAUGAACGCUAGCGGGAGGCUUAAUACAUGCAAGUCGAGCGUCCCGCAAGGGAAGCGGCGCACGGGUGAGUAACACGUACGCAAUCUACCUUAUGCAGGGGGAUAGCCCUGGGAAACUGGGAGUAAUCCGCCAUAGGAUUGUUGUUUGGCAUCAGAUAACAAUUAAAGUACAAGCGGCAUAAGAUGAGCGUGCGUCUGAUUAGCUAGUUGGGGUGGUAACGGCACACCAAGGCUACGAUCAGUAAGGGGCGUGAGAGCGUGGCCCCUCACACGGGUACUGAGACACGGACCCGACUCCUACGGGAGGCAGCAGUAAGGAAUAUUGGACAAUGGGCGGAAGCCUGAUCCAGCCAUCCCGCGUGCUUGAUGAAGGCCCUCUGGGUCGUAAAGAGCUUUAGACUGGGAAGAAACCACUUGAUGCGUCAGGUGUUGACGGUACCAGUAGAAUAAGCACCGGCUAACUCCGUGCCAGCCGCCGCGGUAAUAC